rnacentral:lncRNA from 13 species
GGACAGUCACAGAGCACAAUGAGAGAGGCACUACAAAGGAGAGGGGACAGUCACAGAGCACAAUGAGAGAGGCACGACAAAGGAGAGGGGACAGUCACAGAGCACAGUGAGAGAGGCACUACAAAGGAGAGGGGACAGUCACAGAGCACAGUGAGAGAGGCACUACAAAGGAGAGGGGACAGUCACAGAGCACAGUGAUAGGCACUACAAAGGAGAGGGGACAGUCACAGAGGUUUUCAAUACAGUAUCAAACUUAGGGGAACACGAUUAUUUAGUGUUGUGGAUAUGUGGUGGUAUUGAACAUGUUGUGGUAUUGAACAUGUUGUGGUAUUGAACAUGUGGAGAUGUGGGGGUAUUGAACAUGUUGUGGAUAUGUGGAGGUAUUGAACAUGUUGUGUUGUGGAUAUGUGGAGGUAUUGAACAUGUUGUGGAUAUGUGGUGGUAUUGAACAUGUUUCGAUGUGGAUAUGUGGUGGUAUUGAAUAUGUUGUGGAUAUGUGGGGGUAUUGAACAUGUUGUGGAUAUGUGGGGGUAUUGAACAUGUUGUGGAUAUGUGGAGGUAUUGAACAUGUUGUGGAUAUGUGGGGGUAUUGAACAUGUUGUGUAUAUGUGGGGGUGUAGGGAUGUUAUAUGAUGUACCAUUUUAUCUUUAGCUCAUUCAGUACAAACAGUUCACUGUUUUAUAGCUAAUGGGGAUCCCUAAUAAACCCCAGGAAGAGUAGCUAAUGGGGAUGCGCCUGGCACAUACAUAUACAGUGGGGCAAAAAAGUAUUUAGUCAGCCACCAAUUGUGCAAGUUCUCCCACUUAAAAAGAUGAGAGGCCUGUAAUAUUCAUCAUAGGUACACUUCAACUAUGACAGACAAAAUGAGAAAGAAAAAUCCAGAAAAUCACAUUGUAGGAUUUUUAAUGAAUUUAUUUGGAAAUUAUGGUGGAAAAUAAGUAGUUGGUCAACAACAAAAGUUUAUCUCAAUACUUUGUUAUAUACCCUUUC